GGUUGCGGACAGUGUCUGGUGGGUAGUUUGACUGGGGCGGUCUCCUCCUAAAGAGUAACGGAGGAGCACGAAGGUUGGCUAAUCCUGGUCGGACAUCAGGAGGUUAGUGCAAUGGCAUAAGCCAGCUUGACUGCGAGCGUGACGGCGCGAGCAGGUGCGAAAGCAGGUCAUAGUGAUCCGGUGGUUCUGAAUGGAAGGGCCAUCGCUCAACGGAUAAAAGGUACUCCGGGGAUAACAGGCUGAUACCGCCCAAGAGUUCAUAUCGACGGCGGUGUUUGGCACCUCGAUGUCGGCUCAUCACAUCCUGGGGCUGAAGUAGGUCCCAAGGGUAUGGCUGUUCGCCAUUUAAAGUGGUACGCGAGCUGGGUUUAGAACGUCGUGAGACAGUUCGGUCCCUAUCUGCCGUGGGCGCUGGAGAAUUGAGGGGGGCUGCUCCUAGUACGAGAGGACCGGAGUGGACGCAUCACUGGUGUUCGGGUUGUCAUGCCAAUGGCACUGCCCGGUAGCUAAAUGCGGAAGAGAUAAGUGCUGAAAGCAUCUAAGCACGAAACUUGCCCCGAGAUGAGUUCUCCCUGACUCCUUGAGAGUCCUGAAGGAACGUUGAAGACGACGACGUUGAUAGGCCGGGUGUGUAAGCGCAGCGAUGCGUUGAGCUAACCGGUACUAAUGAACCGUGAGGCUUAACCUUACAACGCCGAAG
rnacentral:rRNA from 1 species